AAGGAAUAUUGCUCAAUGGGAGAAAUCCUGAAGCAGCAACGCCGCGUGGAGGAUGAAGGGUCUAUGACUUGUAAACUCCUGUAAAGAAGGAAAAAAUUCCCAUUUGAUGGGAGAUGAUGGUACUUCUGGAGUAAGCCCCGGCUAACUACGUGCCAGCAGCCGCGGUAAUACGUAGGGGGCAAGCGUUGUCCGGAUUUACUGGGUGUAAAGGGUGCUCAGGCGGAUUUGUAAGUCAGAGGUGAAAUCUUACGGCUUAACUGUGAAACUGCCUUUGAUACUGCAAGCCUAGAGUAUGGAAGAGAGUGAUGGAAUAUCUGGUGUAGCAGUGAAAUGCGUAGAUAUCAGAUAGAACACCAAUGGCGAAGGCAGUCACUUGGUCCAUUACUGACGCUAAAGCACGAAAGCGUGGGUAGCAAACA
rnacentral:rRNA from 1 species